rnacentral:snRNA from 1 species
AUUUCUGCCCGGCGCCCCAAAGCUGGGCCGGCAUUGCACUGCGGUCGGCUGAAGCUUGCCAACUCCGAAGGGGAGAUGGGGCAUGCAAUUUUAGGUAGUGGGGCUAGGCGUUCGCGCCAGCCCCUU